rnacentral:rRNA from 1 species
UACGUAGGGUGCAAGCGUUGUUCGGAAUUAUUGGGCGUAAGGCGCACGUAGGCGGCUUGGUAAGUCGGAUGUGAAAUCCCUCGGCUCAACCAAGGAAGUGCAUUCGAAACUGCUGAGCUUGAGUACUUAAGAGGAUCGCGGAAUUCCCGGUGUAGAGGUGAAAUUCGUAGAUAUCGGGAGGAACACCAGUGGCGAAGGCGGCGAUCUGGGCAGAUACUGACGCUGAGGUGCGAAAGCGUGGGGAGCAAACAGG